rnacentral:rRNA from 1 species
UACGGAGGGUGCAAGCGUUAAUCGGAAUUACUGGGCGUAAAGCGCUCGUAGGCGGCUUGUUAAGUCGGAUGUGAAAGCCCUGGGCUUAACCUGGGAAUGGCAUUCGAUACUGGCAGACUAGAGUAUAGUAGAGGCAAGUGGAAUUCCAGGUGUAGCGGUGAAAUGCGUAGAUAUCUGGAAGAACAUCAGUGGCGAAGGCGACUUGCUGGACUAAUACUGACGCUGAAGAGCGAAAGCGUGGGGAGCAAACGGG